rnacentral:antisense_RNA from 13 species
AAUAACCAAAGAUAACUGCUGGACUAAGUGUUGGAUCUGUAAUGAUUCUUACAUCUCCUCCGCCUGGAGCCCAUGUAUCAUAUACACCACCAAAAUAGCAUGCUUUCCAUACUAAUAAAUAUGCACCAACACCUAAAACAAUUAAAUGAAUACCAAGAAUAGUAGUCAUUUUGUUUUUGUCUUUCCA